AACGAACGCUGGCGGCAGGCUUAACACAUGCAAGUCGAACGCAUCCUUCGGGAUGAGUGGCAGACGGGUGAGUAACGCGUGGGAAUCUACCCAUCCCUACGGGAUAGCUCCGGGAAACUGGAAUUAAUACCGUAUACGUCCUUCGGGAGAAAGAUUUAUCGGGGAUGGAUGAGCCCGCGUUGGAUUAGCUAGUUGGUGGGGUAAAGGCCUACCAAGGCGACGAUCUAUAGCUGGUCUAAGAGGAUGAUCAGCCACAUUGGGACUGAGACACGGCCCAAACUCCUACGGGAGGCAGCAGUGGGGAAUAUUGGACAAUGGGCGCAAGCCUGAUCCAGCCAUGCCGCGUGAGUGAUGAAGGCCCUAGGGUUGUAAAGCUCUUUCAGUGGGGACGAUAAUGACGGUACCCACAGAAGAAGCCCCGGCUAACUUCGUGCCAGCAGCCGCGGUAAAAC
rnacentral:rRNA from 1 species